UGAUUUAUCACUUAUGAAUAAUUUCUUAGAUAUUCUCCUUACAGAUGGAAUUAUAGAAACCGAGGACUUUGUUAUAUUGAUGCGGUCGAAACUCGGAUCGGACGAGCUGAGUAAGGAAGAUUUGCAGGAAGCUUUUUCCCAGCACGAUGUGGAUAACACUGGAGCCAUUUCUCCGGAUGCGCUUAAAGUGAUCCUUUCCGUAAGUUCACUCUCCCAGGAACAGAUUAGUCAGCUGGUCAUUGACGCGGACACUGAUGGAGACGGCACGAUCGAUUUUGAAGAGUUUUACGCCUUGUUUACGACGAUGAUCUGAUGAUAGGGAGACUCAAACUUGUGAUUACAAUCAUGAUGGGAUAAAAUGACUAACAACACAUCGUGUUCCAUUAUGUUGAUAACAGUGGACAUCGUAUGACAUCAUUAAGAACUUUGCUGACCAUUUAUUUUCGAGGAAGGACACUCUGUUAUAAAAUAAAAAUAUUUGUUCUUUCCUGUGAACACUCAAGUCAAAUCGCUUAGCUAAUUCUCGGAACAACCAACCAAAUCGGUUUAUUGUGUAGUUUUCCCAAUAUCACGUACCGUUAUUUAUCCAUAAGAAGAGACAACUUGACGCCACAGAACUUUGCUAACCAUUUAUUUUCGUAAAUAGACCAUUUGUGAUAAAAAGCGAUAUGUUCCUCACCCUUGAUACAUGUAACUCAAGGCUUAUCGCUUCGUUAAUUCUCGGAACAAUCUAUCAAAUUGGUUUAGUGUAGCAUUUCCCCAUAUAACGUACCGUUAUUUAGACAUCAGUGGACAUCAUGUUCCGUCAUGGAGAACUGGGCUGACCAUAUAUUUUUGUAGGUGGACAAUUUGUGAUACAGAUGCAUUUUCUUACCUUUGAUAACCCAAGACUAACCGUUCCGUUAACAACCAAUCAAAUGGACGUAUUGUAUGAUAUGUACUGCAGUUGUCAUCCGUAUUCUGAUCCAUUUGUUCAUUUUUUAUACUAGGAAAAAUAAAAUACUCACUUAUCUGUUAA